GAAACCGGAGCUAAUACCGGAUAAUAUAUUGAACCGCAUGGUUCAAUAGUGAAAGACGGUUUUGCUGUCACUUAUAGAUGGAUCCGCGUCGCAUUAGCUAGUUGGUAAGGUAACGGCUUACCAAGGCAACGAUGCGUAGCCGACCUGAGAGGGUGAUCGGCCACACUGGAACUGAGACACGGUCCAG
rnacentral:rRNA from 1 species